AAAAAGGGUGUUUGCUCUUAAUAGCACGUGGGUCAUCGACCCAUGGGGUAUGGCAAUCAAGACAUACCCGACACAUAAUUUUUGUUAAUGAGAGGCUGUUUUUCGCCAUUGUGCAAAGGCGCCUCU